GGGGAUAAAGAUGCUGAUGCCAAUGAGGUCCCUGGGUGCUUUCUCCUUUUCAACCAAUGCCAGCCUGAGCUGUCUCCCAGGAACGCCAGACUCCCUGGUGUGUGUGGUCGGUGAUUCUUGGCUCACACUGGAUCGGGGUUGUUCAGGGCUGGUGGAAUCCAGUGCCCAACCCCUGGAACCUGAGAAGCAGAUUUCUCCCUCAGGAGGCUCCUGGGCUGCUUUGGCUUGAGAAACAGCUGCUAAUUCUGUUCCUGACACAGCUCAGAUGUAAGGUUAUCUGUCCCACCGUGGCUGACAUGGGACCAGGCACUGGACGCAGAAGGAGUUGGGUUCCAGGGAACCGACUCCUGAUGGUACUUUAAUGGCCACUGCAGAUGUAUCUUCUGGCACCUGGCUGACAGUCUCCCAGUUAUGUCAAAAGGACUCGGAAUCCAAUCUGAAGAGGUGCCAUUGGUCAAAUAAGGAACAACUUGAGCAUCAAGAAGCAUAAUGAAUCCAUUGAUUGAAAUAAUGAAAUAUUUUUAAAAUUCAUGAGUUUACAAGGAUAUAAAUAAAUCUCAU